rnacentral:rRNA from 1 species
GACAGAGGAGGCGAGCGUUAUCCGGAGUUAUUGGGCGUAAAGAGUACGUAGGCGGCUGGUCAAGUCUGGGGUUAAAGACCACAGCUUAACUGUGGGGGGGCCUUGGAAACUGACCGGCUGGAGUGGGGCAGGGGUUGCGGGAAUUCCCGGUGUAGCGGUGAAAUGCGUAGAUAUCGGGAAGAACACCUGAGGCGAAAGCGCGCAACUGGGCCCUAACUGACGCUGAGGUACGAAAGCGAGGGGAGCGAAAGGG